UGCCGCUUUUCCACCGCACAUGUAGCUCGACUCGACACGACACGACUUGACACGACUCGACACGGUAGCAGCGCGGGUCCUUUUCCACCGCAAAUAGUACCUCCGGGACGUGGGCGGGGUCGGCUGCGCGAAAGGGCCGUGACGUAUUUUUGUACGCGACCCAAACAACACCUACGUAACCCACACAUGGACAGAACCCACAUAACAACAAUGGAGAACAUCGAUGCGAUGGUAUUCGUGUUCGUAUUAUUAGCUGGCAUGUUGAAGAAGUGGAAUAUGUUGGCUGCGGCGCUGCUAUGGCUGUUACCAGCAUGGUUGCCAUGUCGCUCUCGUGACUUCGUCACACUCUCUGGCCAAUCAGUGGCCGGCCGUCUGCCGACGUCACCUUUUAGCAUCGGCUCAGCCGCUUGGAACCUAGAGCGAGGCGGUACUAGAAAAAGCAGCCACUUCAGGUACCAGAUACCAUGUUUUCGCGGUGGAAACGCAAAAAAGGCGAGCUGAGUCGACUCGACUCGACACGACACGACUCGACACGACUCGACACGGUAGCAGCGCGGGUCCUUUUCCACCGCAAAUAGUACCUCCGGGACGUGGGCGGGGUCGGCUGCGCGAAAGGGCCGUGACGUAUUUUUGUACGCGACCCAAACAACACCUACGUAACCCACACAUGGACAGAACCCACAUAACAACAAUGGAGAACAUCGAUGCGAUGGUAUUCGUGUUCGUAUUAUUAGCUGGCAUGUUGAAGAAGUGGAAUAUGUUGGCUGCGGCGCUGCUAUGGCUGUUACCAGCAUGGUUGCCAUGUAGCUCUCGUGACUUCGUCACACUCUCUGGCCAAUCAGUGGCCGGCCGUCUGCCGACGUCACCUUUUAGCAUCGGCUCAGCCGCUUGGAACCUAGAGCGAGGCGGUACUAGAAAAAGCAGCCACUUCAGGUACCAGAUACCAUGUUUUCGCGGUGGAAACGCAAAAAAGGCGAGCUGAGUCGAGUCGAGUCGAGUCGUGUCGAGCUGGUACCAUGCAGUGGAAAAGCGGCAUUAGU
ensembl:lncRNA